CCUACGGGUGGCAGCAGUGGGGAAUAUUGGGCAAUGGGCGCAAGCCUGACGCAGCAACGCCGCGUGAAGGAAGAAGGCUUUCGGGUUGUAAACUUCUUUUAUCAGGGACGAAGGAAGUGACGGUAACAGAGGAAUAAGCUACGGCUAACUCCGGGCCAGCAGCCGCGGAAAUACGUAGGUUGCAAGCGUAAUACGGAUUUACUGGGUGCAAAGGGCGUGUAGGCGGGACUGCAAGUCGGAUGUGAAAACCUCGGGCUCAACCUGUGACCUGCAUUUGAAACUGCAGUUCUUGAGUACUGUAGAGGCAGGCGGAAUUCCUAGUGUAGCGGUGAAAUGCGUAGAUAUUAGGAGGAACACCAGUGGCGAAGGCGGUCUGCUGGAC
rnacentral:rRNA from 1 species